rnacentral:rRNA from 1 species
GGGGGAAUAUUGCACAAUGGGCGAAAGCCUGAUGCAGCGACGCCGCGUGAGGGAUGACGGCCUUCGGGUUGUAAACCUCUUUCAGUAGGGACGAAGCGCAAGUGACGGUACCUGCAGACGAAGCUCCGGCUAACUACGUGCCAGCAGCCGCGGUAAUACGUAGGGUGCGAGCGUUGUCCGGAAUUACUGGGCGUAAAGAGCUCGUAGGCGGUUUGUCACGUCGUCUGUGAAAUCCUAGGGCUUAACCCUGGACGUGCAGGCGAUACGGGCUGACUUGAGUACUACAGGGGAGACUGGAAUUUCUGGUGUAGCGGUGGAAUGCACAGAUAUCAGGAAGAACACCGAUGGCGAAGGCAGGUCGCUGGGUAGUAACUGACGCUGAGGAGCGAAAGAAUGGGUAGCGAACAGG